GUCUUCUUGUUGAUGAUGGGAAGUCUGACCUGCCCAGUGAAUAAUUUAACGGCCGCGGUAUAUUGACCGUGCAAAGGUAGCAUAAUCAUUAGUCUUUUAAUAAAAGGCUGGCAUGAAUGGUUUGACGAGGUGCUAACUGUCUCAUUUAAUUUUUAUUAGAAUUUAACUUUUUAGUUAAAAGGCUAAAAUACUAUUGGAAGACGAGAAGACCCUAUAGAGCUUUAUAAUAUACUGAAUAACCAUAUUUAGUUUAAUUUUUUUGUUUAUUUUGUUUAUUAUUUUGUUGGGGUGACAAAAAUAUAUAAUUAACUUUUUUAUUUAUUUUACAUUAAUGUAUGAAUUAUUAGAUCCAUUUUUAAUGAUUGUUAGAUCAAGUUACCUUAGGGAUAACAGCGUAAUCUUCUUUCAGAGUUCAAAUUUACAAGAAGGCUUGCGACCUCGAUGUUGGAUUAAGAUUAUAAUUGGGUGCAGCCGCUUAAUUUAUAGGUCUGUUCGACCUUUAAUUUCUUACAUGAUCUGAGUUCAAACCGG
rnacentral:rRNA from 2 species